UACGAAGGGGGCUAGCGUUGUUCGGAAUUACUGGGCGUAAAGCGCGUGUAGGCGGGUCUUUAAGGCAGGGGGGAAAUGCCAAGGCUCAACCUUGGAACUGCCUUUGAUACUGGAGACCUUGAGUCCGGGAGAGGUGAGUGGAAUUGCGAGUGUAGAGGUGAAAUUCGUAGAUAUUCGCAAGAACACCAGUGGCGAAGGCGGCUCACUGGCCCGGAACUGACGCUGAGAUGCGAAAGCGUGGGGAGCAAACAGG
rnacentral:rRNA from 1 species